rnacentral:rRNA from 1 species
GACGAACGCUGGCGGCGUGCUUAACACAUGCAAGUCGAACGGAAAGGCCCUGCUUGCAGGGUGCUCGAGUGGCGAAAGGGUGAGUAACACGUGGGUGAACUGCCCCUUACUUUGGGAUAAGCCUGGAAAACUGGGUCUAAUACUGGAUAGGACCAUGCUGUAGGCGGUGUGGUGGAAGGAUAAGUUUCGGUAAGGGGUGAGCUCGCGGCCUAUAAGCUCGUUGGUGGGGUAAUGGCCGAAAAAGACGUCGACGGGUAGCCGGCCUCCGAGGGUGGACGGCGGCAUUGGUAGUGAGGUAAGGCCCAGACGCCUACGAGAGGCAGCAGUAGGGAAUAUUGCACAAUAGGCGCAAGCCUCAUGCAGCGGCGCCGCGGGGGGGGUGACGGCCUUCGGGUUGUAAACUCCUUUCUUCCAUGACGAAGCCGUUGUGGUGACGGUAGUGGUAGAAGAAGCACCGGCUAACUACGUG